rnacentral:rRNA from 1 species
UACGUACUGUGCGAACGUUAUUCGGAAUCACUGGGCUUAAAGGGUGCGUUGGCGGCCUGUUAAGUAGGGUGUGAAAUGCCAGAGCUCAACUUUGGCAUUGCGCUCUAGACUGGCAGGCUUGAGUGAGAUAGGGGUGUGCGGAACUUCCAGUGGAGCGGUGAAAUGUGUUGAUAUUGGAAGGAACGCCGGUGGCGAAAGCGGCACACUGGGUCUUAACUGACGCUGAUGCACGAAAGCCAGGGGA